CAGAAUGAAUGAAGAAGUUUGAUUGUUGUCUUGAAAAAGAUGGCCUAGCCUAUGAUUUUUUUAGGUAUAUAAUAAAUAAUGUUUCAGUUUUGAAUAUGGUGCGUUGUUGUGUUGCAUUUGGGUGCAAUGAAAAGUACAGCAAAGGAAAUGAUAUCCAGUUUCACAAAUUCCCACAUCUCCGUCCAGAAAUUUUCAAAGAAUGGGAAAAGGCUGUGGGGAGAAGUGAGGAUUGGAGAGCAACGAUUCACAGUGCCCUCUGCAGCAAACAUUUUACUGAGCAAGAUUACGUAGUACGACCUGGAGCCUUAAUAAAACUUCUGAAACCAGACGCAAUACCAACAGUUUUCUCAUUCAAUAAGGACAACAAAGGAAAAAGAAAGCGUCCACGUACUCAAAAUCCUGAUGCCACUAAGAAGGACGCCGGGGACUGUGCAGCAGUGGUUUGCGAACCAGUAAUUGCUGACCAUGAGUAUGUGGCAAAGACGGCAAACUCCAGUUCGACAACAAAGGAGACCAGUCAAAUGGGAACUACAGAAUCACAGUACAGAAACAUUCAACCUAAAAGUCUAACUACUGUGUCGCAGCACAUACAUUUUAAAGCUCCUGCCCAAACUACUGUGUCGCAGCAUAGAACCAUUGAAGCUGCAAGCCAAACUUCUGAAUUGGAGCUGAGGAACAACAAAGAGAGCACCCCUUUGAAAAAUAUAAAUCGUCAAACGCAAACCUCGUUUUCAAGUACUAUAACAGAAAAAAUGCUGAGAAAAAAAGUAAAACGUUUACAGAUGAGACUCUUGCGCAGAAAAGUAAAACUUAAAAAUUCCUUAGCGUUGGUAAAACAGUUAAAGGAUGAAGUUACAAAUCUGAAAUUAAAUGACACUAUCAACUCUGUAGUGUAUUUAAAUUUGUUAAAUUUGACUGGUAACAAUGAAGUAAAUAGGAAUAUGGACCACAGCUAUGCAAGAACAAUAAAGACAAUAGCCAAGGAUACAGAUAAACAAGAUGAAAUAGAAAAAGAAAUAGAAAGAGAAAAAGGAAUACAAAUUAGAAAAAAGUUGGUCAAAUUUAUUACUUUCAAAAAUGAUUAGAGCUUACGUUGGGAAGGAUAUCUGCUGUUUAAUAUAUCCGUUAAUUUUACAAGAUGUAUAUGGACUAGGUGGCUACUGAAAAAAUGGAUUUUUUCAACAUGAAAAUGAGAACUAACUAAACCAAUCAAUACUGACUCAAUACUUGGAUAACUAUUGGUUGAUGACAACCACCCUGGCCUGAAGAGGCAAUGCAAGCACGAAAUUCUGUUUGCAAGAAAUACGGACAAUUCCAAACAGCUGGGAAGGACAACCAAAAUUAAAUUUUGUUGAGAAAUACUAUUCUUUAAACUUUAAAAGUUAAUUUUAGAAUUUUAAAAUACUGUUCUAAUACAGUUGUACAUAGCAUGUAAAGAGUUUAUUUUGUGUGUAUUUUUUUUUUUUAAAUAAAUAAACUAAUUUGUUAAGUUUU